rnacentral:rRNA from 1 species
AUUGAACGCUGGCGGCAGGCUUAACACAUGCAAGUCGAGCGGAGACUUCGGUCUUAGCGGCGAACGGGUGAGUAAUACCUAGGAAUCUGCCUAUUAGUGGGGGAUAACGAAUCGAAAGGUUCGCUAAUACCGCAUACGACCUACGGGUGAAAGUGGGGGACCUUCGGGCCUCACGCGAUGAGAUGAGCCGAUGCCGGAUUAGCUAGUUGGCGGGGUAAAGGCCCACCAAGGCGACGAUCCGUAGCUGGUCUGAGAGGAUGAUCAGCCACACUGGAACUGAGACACGGUCCAGACUCCUACGGGAGGCAGCAGUGGGGAAUAUUGGACAAUGGGGGCAACCCUGAUCCAGCCAUGCCGCGUGUGUGAAGAAGGCC